rnacentral:rRNA from 1 species
GAUGAACGCUGGCUGUGUGCCUAAUACAUGCAUGUCGAGCGAAGCACUUUGUGCUUAGCGGCAAAUGGGUGAGUAACACGUACUUAACCUACCUUAUAGAUUGGGACAACAUUUGGAAACGAAUGCUAAUACCGAAUAUGCUAUUUAGAGGCAUCUCUAAAUACUGAAAGAUCCGUUUGGAUCGCUAUGAGAUGGGAGUGCGCUACAUUAGUUAGUUGGUGGGGUAAAGGCCUACCAAGACGAUGAUGUAUAGCGGGGUUGAGAAGCUGAUCCGCCACACUGGGAUUGAGAUACGGCCCAG